ensembl:lncRNA
CAUCUGGGUCUCAGGGGCACCCUCUGCCUUUAAGGAUGUUGAAGGGUGAAUUAACAGUAUCUCUGCGAUCCAGGCCCUCGGGCACUUUCAGUCUGUCCGUGGCCUGCAUGAGCCACAUGUGAACAUGGCAACGAGGCCAACCCAGGGAUGGAAAGCAUUCCUCCUAAAGACUUGAGAAGCUCUCACUGGGGCGUAGGGAACCUUGGCUCUGGUUCUGACUAUGAUGCUAGUAUCUCCUAUUUUGGUAGCUUCAAGCCAAUCACUUCACCCACCGGAGUCUCUUUUACUUGUAGAACGAAGAGGCUGAGAUUCGGAUUUUGCAGAGGAACAUCUGAGGUGCCAUUUCUGGAUGAGCGAGGAGUUAAGCACCAUCUUGGGACCCGGACAGCCUCAGCAGCCAGUUCUUCUGGGACACUUCUCCGUGGGACUGUCUCUCCGGGAUGGGAUGACUGGCUGGGAAGCAGGCUCUGCUGAGGGUCCUCUUCCUUCAUCGGAGUCGGCAACCCGGCGCGGCCCUGUGCCUGCCGUGGGCAGCAGGGAUGGCUCAGGAGUUCUAGCCCCACCAGGACUGGAGGCCCCGUCGAGGCUCCUACCUUGCCUGAGGAAAAAGUAAGGCUCCAGUAUCCCCAGGGGUACCCCGCUUUCAGCCAGCGGAUGCUGCAGGUGCAAGCAUUCUCCUGGUGCUGUCUGACACCCCUCCUUUCCUCUGAGGACGUGGAGAGUGCAGAGCAGACAGGAAAGACAGACACUGGGGAUGGAGAGGGGGGCGGGGGGCCUUUCGUGAAUAAAGGCAGCUUCAGUUAGUAAGAGACAUAACUGACAAGCUGCAAAAGCAGCACCUACUCAUUAGUCAUUGACUAAAACAUAUAAAUAAUAAAUACCAGGGCCUCCCCGGCCCCCAGGACACGCGCCUGGCGCCUGGCCUGCGGAGUGGGGCCUGCAGUACCGUCACGCCCACAGGGAUGGGCUUUCCGGGGCAGGGCAGCUGGCAACCGGCGGGGGUAGGGUGGGGUGGGCGGGGGGUGUCUUGGCCAAGGAAAGCCUGUCCUGGGGGGGAGCUGGACUGAAGAAGGAAGGGGCCUCGGACCGGGCUCUCCAGUGGAGCAGGGCCUGCCCCCCGAGGCACACCGCAAGGACACGUUUCAGACUUAUGGCAACUCAAGCACUUGGGAGAACACUGUUGUUUGUUUAGGUUUGAACCCAUCUGAUGCUCAGGCUUCCAGCUUCCACCCCGCACGGGAGAGGGGCCUGCUGGCACCUCAGAGGAGGAAGGGCAUGAAUUUAAAA